rnacentral:rRNA from 1 species
GAGUUUGAUUAUGGCUCAGGAUGAACGCUGGCGGCGUGCUUAACACAUGCAAGUCGAACGGGCGAAUUAUAUCGGAGGUCUUCGGGCCGAAGAGAUAAUAAGCUAGUGGCGGACGGGUGCGUAACGUGUGGGUAAUCUGCCUUUGUCAUAGGAAUAACUGCUUGAAAAAGUAGCUAAUACCAAAUAACAUAUCGUAUAGGCAUCUAUAAGAUAUCAAAGAGAAAUCGGACAAAGAUGAGCCCGCAUCUGAUUAGCUAGUUGGUAGGGUAAAAGCCUACCAAGGCGACGAUCAGUAGCCGGCCUGAGAGGGUGAACGGCCACAUUGGAACUGAGACACGGUCCAAACUCCUACGGGAGGCAGCAGUGGGGAAUAUUGCACAAUGGGGGGAACCCUGAUGCAGCAACGCCGCGUGAGUGAAGAAGGCUUUCGAGUCGUAAAACUCUGUUGUAAGGGAAGAUAAUGACGUACCUAAAAGAAGCCCCG